rnacentral:rRNA from 1 species
CCUACGGGUGGCAGCAGUGAGGAAUAUUGGUCAAUGGACGCGAGUCUGAACCAGCCAAGUAGCGUGAAGGAUGACUGCCCUACGGGUUGUAAACUUCUUUUAUAAAGGACUAAAAUGAGGCACGUGUGCCUUUUUGUAUGUACUUUAUGAAUAAGGAUCGGCUAACUCCGUGCCAGCAGCCGCGGUAAUACGGAGGAUCCGAGCGUUAUCCGGAUUUAUUGGGUUUAACGGGAGCGUAGAUGGGUUGUUAAGUCAGUGGUGAAAGUUUGUGGCUCAACCGUAAAAUUGCAGUUGAUACUGGCAGUCUUGAGUAUAGUUGAGGUAGGCGGAAUGCGUGGUGUAGCGGUGAAAUGCUGAGAUAUCACGAAGAACUCCGAUUGCGAAGGCAGCUUACUAAGCUGCCACUGACAUUGAUGCUCGAAAGUGUGGGGAUCAAACAGGAUUAGAUACCCGAGUAGUC